UUGAGGUGUGUACAAGGGAUGAAGGCGCGUCCUUCUCGUUACGUCAUCAGCGCGAGCCCCAGACCGAGUGGAUCGAUCGAAAUGGAGGAGCAGAGACAUGCGGGUGAUGGAUCACAGGUGGAGGAAGAAGAAACUGAUCUCUCUGCAUGAUCAAUUGUGCUUCAUGCAACUCUACGUUUGGUCCCUUUGUUGAAGCAAAUCUGAAAAGGUCUUGAAGUCUACAAUCCUGGAAAACCAUUCAGGACUUUGCCACCAGUUCUUUUUCCCUGAUGUGGUGGAUGAUGAUGAUAAGGCUGAUGCAGACUUCAUCAUGCAGAACAUUCUUCCGAAAAUGUCGGAGAAGGGAUCAGUACAAGAGACUUAUGAAACCGCUAUAAUCAACUUUCUGCAAGACUUUCUCCAAGAAAUUGAAAGCUGUGUUUUGUAUGAACUGACAGAGUUGAUUUAGUAUAAAUAUUGUAAAAAAAAACCCUACAAAUUAAUGUUAAAAUGUAAUUGAUUUAAUUCAGACAAUAUCAACCCCAUCCAAGCCAUUCAAUUUGACAACGGUUUAAACUGAAUUUAAAAUUAUACUAAAGGUAUGGAAUUGUACAUGUUCAGGAAAAUAAAAACUUUUAUACAUUGGUAAAUGUUCUUAUGGUUUUGAAAUUUACUGUGUAUGUGUAGAGAACACAACGUGUUACAUAAUGUAAAAUUGUAUAUCUUAAUGAAUGUGUUAAGAGAACACAAGUUGUUAUACUAGCCAUUUUCUGCUUUAAAUAUAGCCAAUACAGAAAAUAAAACAAGCAUGCAAUGUCA